AGAGUUUGAUCCUGGCUCAGGAUGAACGCUGGCGGCGUGCUUAACACAUGCAAGUCGAACGAAGCACCUUGAUUUGAUUCUUCGGAUGAAGAUCUUGGUGACUGAGUGGCGGACGGGUGAGUAACGCGUGGGUAACCUGCCUCAUACAGGGGGAUAACAGUUAGAAAUGACUGCUAAUACCGCAUAAGACCACAGCACCGCAUGGUGCAGGGGUAAAAACUCCGGUGGUAUGAGAUGGACCCGCGUCUGAUUAGGUAGUUGGUGGGGUAACGGCCUACCAAGCCGACGAUCAGUAGCCGACCUGAGAGGGUGACCGGCCACAUUGGGACUGAGACACGGCCCAAACUCCUACGGGAGGCAGCAGUGGGGAAUAUUGCACAAUGGGGGAAACCCUGAUGCAGCGACGCCGCGUGAGCGAUGAAGUAUUUCGGUAUGUAAAGCUCUAUCAGCAGGGAAGAAAAUGACGGUACCUGACUAAGAAGCACCGGCUAAAUACGUGCCAGCAGCCGCGGUAAUACGUAUGGUGCAAGCGUUAUCCGGAUUUACUGGGUGUAAAGGGAGCGUAGACGGAGUGGCAAGUCUGAUGUGAAAACCCGGGGCUCAACCCCGGGACUGCAUUGGAAACUGUCAAUCUAGAGUACCGGAGAGGUAAGCGGAAUUCCUAGUGUAGCGGUGAAAUGCGUAGAUAUUAGGAGGAACACCAGUGGCGAAGGCGGCUUACUGGACGGUAACUGACGUUGAGGCUCGAAAGCGUGGGGAGCAAACAGGAUUAGAUACCCUGGUAGUCCACGCCGUAAACGAUGACUACUAGGUGUCGGGCAGCAAAGCUGUUCGGUGCCGCAGCAAACACAAUAAGUAAUCCACCUGGGGAGUACGACCGCAAGGUUGAAACUCAAAGGAAUUGACGGGGGCCCGCACAAGCAGUGGAGUAUGUGGUUUAAUUCGACGCAACGCGAAGAACCUUACCAAGUCUUGACAUCCUGUGACAGACGUAGAAAUACGUUCUUCCUUCGAGACACAGAGACAGGUGGUGCAUGGUUGUCGUCAGCUCGUGUCGUGAGAUGUUGGGUUAAGUCCCGCAACGAGCGCAACCCUUAUGGUCAGUUACUACGCAAGAGGACUCUGGCCAGACUGCCGUUGACAAAACGGAGGAAGGUGGGGAUGACGUCAAAUCAUCAUGCCCUUUAUGACUUGGGCUACACACGUACUACAAUGGCGUUAAACAAAGAGAAGCAAGACCGCGAGGUGGAGCAAAACUCAGAAACAACGUCCCAGUUCGGACUGCAGGCUGCAACUCGCCUGCACGAAGUCGGAAUUGCUAGUAAUCGUGAUCAGCAUGCCACGGUGAAUACGUUCCCGGGCCUUGUACACACCGCCCGUCACACCAUGAGAGCCGGGGGGACCCGAAGUCGGUAGUCUAACCGCAAGGAGGACGCCGCCGAAGGUAAAACUGGUGAUUGGGGUGAAGUCGUAACAAGGUA
rnacentral:rRNA from 1 species